GGAGCGGUAUCGAAGCGGUCAUAACGGGGCUGACUCGAAAUCAGUUUGGCUUAACGGCUACGUGGGUUCGAAUCCCACCCGCUCCGCCA
rnacentral:tRNA from 1 species